AGCGAACGCUGGCGGCAGGCCUAACACAUGCAAGUCGAACGAACUCUUCGGAGUUAGUGGCGGACGGGUGAGUAACACGUGGGAACGUGCCUUUAGGUUCGGAAUAACUCAGGGAAACUUGUGCUAAUACCGAAUGUGCCCUUCGGGGGAAAGAUUUAUCGCCUUUAGAGCGGCCCGCGUCUGAUUGGCUAGUUGGUGAGGUAAAGGCUCACCAAGGCGACGAUCAGUAGCUGGUCUGAGAGGAUGAUCAGCCACAUUGGGACUGAGACACGGCCCAAACUCCUACGGGAGGCAGCAGUGGGGAAUCUUGCGCAAUGGGCGAAAGCCUGACGCAGCCAUGCCGCGUGAAUGAUGAAGGUCUUAGGAUUGUAAAAUUCUUUCACCGGGGACGAUAAUGACGGUACCCGGAGAAGAAGCCCCGGCUAACUUCGUG
rnacentral:rRNA from 1 species